CAAUAGCGUAUAUUAAAGUUGUUGCGGUUAAAAAGCUCGUAGUUGGAUCUCGGCAGGCAGGGGGUGGUUCGCUCUUAGCGCUACUGCCCCAUUUGCCUGUGUGAUUGGCGGAGGUUUCGGGGUGCUCUUCGUUGAGUGACCCGGGGCGCCGUCAGGUUUACUUUGAAAAAAUUAGAGUGCUCAAAGCAGGCUUUUCACGCUUGAAUAUUCGUGCAUGGAAUAAUGGAAUAGGAACUCGUUUCUAUUUUGUUGGUUUUCGGAAAUCGAGUUAAUGAUUAAUAGGGACAAUUGGGGGCAUUAGUAUUCAGACGACAGAGGUGAAAUUCUUGGGCCGUCUGAAGACUAACUACUGCGAAAGCAUUUGCCAAGAGUGUUUUCAUUAA
rnacentral:rRNA from 1 species